CCAGGACCUGCAGCUGUGACUGGCCCCUGGCCUGCAGGGCCUGAGAGGGCACCCCAGACUGCCCAGAACCUUCCCUCAGGAAAUCCCCAGGAAGCAUCAGCCGAGUGUGCCCAAAGCCGAGGAGCCCCUCAAGACCGUGCAGGAGAAGAAAAAGUUCCGGCACCGGCCGGAACCUCUCUUCAUCCCGCCGCCGCCCUCCUACAACCCGAACCCCGCUGCCUCCUACUCGGGCGCCACCCUGUACCAGAGCCAGCUGCGCUCCCCGCGCGUCCUCGGGGACCACCUGCUCCUGGACCCCACCCACGAGCU
rnacentral:lncRNA from 1 species